AACGAACGCUGGCGGCAUGCCUAACACAUGCAAGUCGAACGAGACCUUCGUGUCUUUGUGCGCACGUGUGCGUAACGCGUGGGAACCUGCCUUUAGGUUCGGAAUACCUCACAGAAGUUUGAGCUAAUACCGGAUGAUGUCUUCGGACCAAAGAUUUAUCGCCUUUUGAUGGGCCCGCGUUGGAUUCGCUGGUUGGUGGGGUAAAGGCCUACCAUGGCGACGAUCCAUAGCUGGUGUGAGAGGAGGAUCAGCCACACUGGGACUGCGACACGGCCCAGACUCCUACGGAAGGCAGCAGUGGGGAAUAUUGGACAAUGGGCGAAAGCCUGAUCCAGCAAUGCCGCGUGAGUGAUGAAGGCCUUAGGGUUGUAAAGCUCUUUUACCCGAGAUGAUAAUGACAGUAUCGGGAGAAGAAGCUCCGGCUAACUCCGUG
rnacentral:rRNA from 1 species